rnacentral:rRNA from 1 species
UGAGGAAUAUUGGUCAAUGGGCGUGAGCCUGAACCAGCCAAGUAGCGUGCAGGAAGACGGCCCUAUGGGUUGUAAACUGCUUUUAUGCGGGGAUAAAGGAGUCCACGUGUGGAUUUUUGCAGGUAUCGCAUGAAUAAGGACCGGCUAAUUCCGUGCCAGCAGCCGCGGUAAUACGGAAGGUCCGGGCGUUAUCCGGAUUUAUUGGGUUUAAAGGGAGCGUAGGCCGCGUUUUAAGCGUGUUGUGAAAUGUAGACGCCCAACGUCUGCAUCGCAGCUCGAACUGGGACGCUGGAGUACGCGCAACGUUGGCGGAAUUCGUCGUGUAGCGGUGAAAUGCUUCGAUAUGACGAGGAACUCCGAUUGCGAAGGCAGCUGACGGGAGCGGCACUGACGCUUAAGCUGGAAGGUGCGGGUAUCAAACAGG